AUGACGAUUGUGGGAGAGACCGGACCGAAGCGCCCGGCACCGAAGGAGCAAGUCCCAAAAAUCCUUGGGAAAGAAUCUCUCAGGUACAAGGUACCACAAUUGGACG
rnacentral:ncRNA from 2 species